rnacentral:rRNA from 1 species
CUAAGGUAGCGAAAUUCCUUGUCGGGUAAGUUCCGACCUGCACGAAUGGCGUAACGACUUCCCCGCUGUCUCCAAUGCAGACUCAGCGAAAUUGAAUUGCCUGUCAAGAUGCAGGCUUCCCGCGGUUAGACGGAAAGACCCCGUGCACCUUUACUACAGCUUCGCACUGGCUUCAGGCACAGCAUGUGCAGGAUAGGUGGUAGGCUUCGAAGCAGGGACGCCAGUCCCUGUGGAGCCUCCCUUGAGAUACCACCCUUGCUUUGCUUGAUGUCUAACCGCGGUCCGUUAUCCGGAUCCGGGACCCUGCGUGGUGGGUAGUUUGACUGGGGCGGC